rnacentral:rRNA from 1 species
GGAGUCUGGACCGUGUCUCAGUUCCAAUGUGGGGGACCUUCCUCUCAGAACCCCUACCCAUCGUCGGUUUGGUGGGCCGUUACCCCGCCAACUGCCUAAUGGGACGCGAGCCAAUCCGAUAGCGAUAAAUCUAUUAAACAAGGAUCAUGCGGUCCCUGUUGUUACGGAGUAUUACGCGACGUUUCCAUCGACUAUCCUCCACUACCGGGCAUGUUGCUCACGCGUUACUCACCCUUUCGCCGGUCGCCGUCAGAGUAUUGCUACUCCACGCUGCCCCUCGACUUGCAUGUGUUAAGCCUGCCGCUAGCGUUCAUC